rnacentral:rRNA from 1 species
UACGUAGGGUGCGAGCGUUGUCCGGAAUUACUGGGCGUAAAGAGCUCGUAGGUGGUUUGUCGCGUUGUUCGUGAAAACCGGGGGCUUAACCCUCGGCGUGCGGGCGAUACGGGCAGACUGGAGUACUGCAGGGGAGACUGGAAUUCCUGGUGUAGCGGUGAAAUGCGCAGAUAUCAGGAGGAACACCGGUGGCGAAGGCGGGUCUCUGGGCAACAACUGGCGCUGAGGAGCGAAAGCGUGGGGAGCGAACAGG